GCAUUGGUGGUUCAGUGGUAGAAUUCUCACCUUCCAUGCCAGAGACCCAGAUCUGAUUCCAGGCUAAUGCA
rnacentral:tRNA from 1 species